rnacentral:rRNA from 1 species
AUUGAACGCUGGCGGAAUGCUUUACACAUGCAAGUCGAACGGCAGCAUAGGUGCUUGCACCUGAUGGCGAGUGGCGAACGGGUGAGUAAUACAUCGGAACGUGCCCAGUCGUGGGGGAUAACGUAGCGAAAGUUACGCUAAUACCGCAUACGAUCUAAGGAUGAAAGCGGGGGACCGUAAGGCCUCGCGCGAUUGGAGCGGCCGAUGUCAGAUUAGGUAGUUGGUGGGGUAAAGGCUCACCAAGCCAACGAUCUGUAGCUGGUCUGAGAGGACGACCAGCCACACUGGGACUGAGACACGGCCCAGACUCCUACGGGAGGCAGCAGUGGGGAAUUUUGGACAAUGGACGCAAGUCUGAUCCAGCCAUUCCGCGUGCAGGACGAAGGCCCUCGGGUUGUAAACUGCUUUUGUACGGAACGAAAAAGCUCUUACUAAUACUAGGAGUCCAUGACGGUACCGUAAGAAUAAGCACCGGCUAACUACGUG